rnacentral:rRNA from 1 species
AUUGAACGCUGGCGGCAGGCCUAACACAUGCAAGUCGAGCGGUAGAGAGAAGCUUGCUUCUCUUGAGAGCGGCGGACGGGUGAGUAAUGCCUAGGAAUCUGCCUGGUAGUGGGGGAUAACGUUCGGAAACGGACGCUAAUACCGCAUACGUCCUACGGGAGAAAGCAGGGGACCUUCGGGCCUUGCGCUAUCAGAUGAGCCUAGGUCGGAUUAGCUAGUUGGUGGGGUAAUGGCUCACCGAGGCGACGAUCCGUAACUGGUCUGAGAGGAUGAUCAGUCACACUGGAACUGAGACACGGUCCAGACUCCUACGGGAGGCAGCAGUGGGGAAUAUUGGACAAUGGGCGAAAGCCUGAUCCAGCCAUGCCGCGUGUGUGAAGAAGGUCUUCGGAUUGUAAAGCACUUUAAGUUGGGAGGAAGGGCAGUUGCCUAAUACGUAACUGUUUUGACGUUACCGACAGAAUAAGCACCGGCUAACUCUGUG